AUGAAAAAAUUCAAACAAGAAUUAAUUGAUUGGUAUCUCAUCAUAAGGGUUUGCAUUUGGAAUCAGUUAAAGAGGAAUUUAUUUUUAAUCAUGGACCAUUUUUCUCCCAAUUGCAAAUCACAAAAAGCUUGUGCCUUUUGGUUCACAAAAAAGAAAAAAAAAAGAAGAUUGCAAAUAUUUUUUCAAUACCGCUGCAAACAAAAAAUAGCAAACAAAAAACGUACAAAGCAAACUGUCCCACAAAAGCAACAACAUAGCUACAAAAGAACAUGCAGCGCGCAGAACAACUACAGCAGGCCAGCAGGCUAA